rnacentral:tRNA from 1 species
CGGGGCGUGGCGCAGCCCGGUAGCGCACCUGCAUGGGGUGCAGGGGGUCGUUGGUUCAAAUCCAAUCGCCCCGACCA